AGACUUUUCAUUAGAUCAAUAUUUUGUUACAAUGGACAUCUGACACAGAAGGUUGAGAGGGCUAUGUCAAAAUGAAGAUGAAGCAGAAACACUAAAUUUUCCACUAUGUGAAAACUAUGCUUCAAAUGUGAUAUUUAUUAUUAUUUGAACAAGUGAUUUUGCUAUAAAUGUUUUAAUUUUGGGUUUCCAUUUUUUUUCAAAAUAUACAUGUAUUAAGAAAUUUAUACUUCCACAAAGAAAUGGUCCUUUAAAUAAGAAUGAGUUCCGUGAAAAAACAUUAUUUAUUUCUGUUUAAUGUAUAAUUGUAUAACUAAAAUGAUAUGCAUACCCAAAAGAAAAAAACAAGAAAACAGUAAACUUUUUAACCUGGUUAUAAUAAUGUACCCUAAUAUGUUAUUUAAACAUGCAUACACAUUUUUUGUGCAAUGGGCUUAUCAGAGCUAGUGAGCUGUGCUGUGUAAAGGCCUCUAAGUUCACUCUCUAAGUUUUUCCCACAUAUUUUCAAAAUGAGCUGUCUCCAGGGUCAGAAAAUGGACCACUUGUACAUGUACACUGUAUGCAUCCAAUGGCAUGAAUUACUCAUUGAUUUCUUUUGUAAAUUUUUAAAAUAAGGUAAUGUAAAAAUUGGCAUUUUAAUGUAAUUCAAUGUACAAUGAGCUUAAUGUACAAGGCAAAUCCAAAUUUCUUUGAUAGGUUUUAAGGGGGAAAAAGGAAAGGCUCUAGAUCUAUUGAAAAUUCACUUCUCUCUUGCUGUACUUUUUAUGUUACAUUUUGGUGCUUAUUUUUGUUACGGAAUGAAUGUGCUCAAUGUGUUGACUUUCUUAUUAAAAUAAAGAACUUAUUUUCUGAUACGAUAAAAAUGUACAUACAUUUAUACGAUCCCGGUAUGAAUUAAUAAAAAAAUGUAUGCAAACCGCUUACUCGUGUACCCUUAAUAUGCCUAAAAAAAAUUAAACAGUUAAUAUAGUUAUAGAGUUUUAAAGGCAUGGAUCCAAUGAAAAUGGAUUUAUAAAAAAUCAUCUUUUUUGACGUGUUUGUAGAUGAUAAGUACGAUCUUAGAAAAUGGAUUAAUUUUAAUACUAAUCUUGCAAAUGUAUUUUGGCUUUUUAGCAGGGUUGAACUUCAGUGGAUCAAAGCUAAUGUGAUUAAUCACAUCAGAGAGAAAGUAAGGUCUAAUGGAAUCCAACUGCCAACUACAUGUACAUGUAAUUUUGAUAAUUAAAAUCGUUUAAAUUAUUUUGUUCAACGUGUUCCCUUGUCGAACACAUUUUAUUGCCUUGUAUUGUAAAAUGUUUACGUUCAAGAUAUUGUAGUUAAAAUAAAGUAUUAAAAUAC
rnacentral:misc_RNA from 1 species